AACGAACGCUGGCGGCAUGCCUAACACAUGCAAGUCGAACGAGACCUUCGGGUCUAGUGGCGCACGGGUGCGUAACGCGUGGGAACCUGCCCUUAGGUUCGGAAUAACUCCCCGAAAGGGGUGCUAAUACCGGAUAAUGUCUUCGGACCAAAGAUUUAUCGCCUUUGGAUGGGCCCGCGUUGGAUUAGCUAGUUGGUAGGGUAAAAGCCUACCAAGGCGACGAUCCAUAGCUGGUCUGAGAGGAUGAUCAGCCACACUGGGACUGAGACACGGCCCAGACUCCUACGGGAGGUAGCAGUGGGGAAUAUUGGACAAUGGGCGAAAGCCCGAUCCAGCAAUGCCGCGUGAGUGAUGAAGGCCUUAGGGUUGUAAAGCUCUUUUACCCGGGAUGAUAAUGACAGUACCGGGAGAAUAAGCUCCGGCUAACUCCGUG
rnacentral:rRNA from 1 species